ensembl:lncRNA
CUUUCUGGUCUUCGGAAACGGUGGCGAGUUUAGGAGGGAGGCGAAAAAAAAGAAAAGAAACGAGAGUGGUUCAAAAACUGUCUUCAUGUACUUUUGUCACUGUUUUACAUGCGAACAAAGCCGGCAAAGUGGCGGCGGUCUUUAUUCGCCACCGGACUGCAGCUAAUGUUUCAAUGUAACACAGCAGGAAGUUGAGGUUAAAAAAAAAAACAAACAGAACAGAAAAAGUGUUCGGGAAAGCAGGAGACGCGAGGACGGCAGAGAGGAAGAGAGCGGGGAAACAGAUACACAAAAGCAGAGAGUUGUCCAAUGGACUAUGUGGUGAAAUCUGAAUGACAUUUUGUACU